CCUACGGGAGGCAGCAGUGGGGGAUAUUGCACAAUGUGGGGAACUCUGAUGCAGCGACGCCGCGUGGGUGAAGAAGCGCCUCGGCGCGUAAAGCCCUGUCAGAAGGGAAGAAAAUGACGGUACCUGCAGAAGAAGCCCCGGCUAACUACGUGCCAGCAGCCGCGGUAAUACGUAGGGGGCAAGCGUCAUCCGGAUUUACUGGGUGUAAAGGGGGCACAGGCGGCGAUGCAAGCCAGGAGUGAAAGCCCGGGGCCCAACCCCGGGACUGCUCUUGGAACUGCGUGGCUGGAGUGCAGGAGGGGCAGGCGGAAUUCCUGGUGUAGCGGUGAAAUGCGUAGAUAUCAGGAGGAACACCAGUGGCGAAGGCGGCCUGCUGGACUGCAACUGACGUUGAGGCCCGAAAGCGUGGGGAGCAAACAGGAUUAGAUACCCCAGUAGUC
rnacentral:rRNA from 1 species